ensembl:lncRNA
UCCAACACUCAUAAUAAAUCAGAAUAUUAGAAUGAUUUCUAAAUGAUCAUGUGAUAGACUGGAUGUUACAUGUGACACUGAAGGCUGGAGUAAUGAUGCUGAAAAUUCAGCUUUGCAUCACAGGAAUAAAUUAUUUUUUUAAAGUAUAUUCAAAUAGAAAACUAUUAUUUUAAAUUGUAAUAAUAUUUCACAAUAUUAUUGUUUUUUCUUUAUUUUUGAUCAAAUAAAUGCAGGCUUGAUGAGCAGAAGAGACUUCUUUCAAAAACAUUAAAAAAUAGUAAUGUUUCCAAACUUUUGACCUGUACUGUAUGUCUGAAUGUACUUCUGUGUGUCGGUGUGUGUAAGUUUGCACGUGUUUUGAAUGCAAAACUCGUUAAUGCACGAGUCGCUGAAAGACAAGCUAAUGUAAACGAAUGUUUGUAUUUGAUAGUAUUUCGUUACUACUUCGUUCAUUUUCAAGUGUCCUGAUCUGUGCACAGCGCUACAGUGCCUUACGAACACCACGUUGACCACUCGCUUUGACAGCAGCGUUCAUUUUGUUCACACGAUUUCAAAGCUGUGUUCGAAAACACACUCGAUUCUUCUUGAAAAUGGGAUCCGUUUCCCGUGUUUUCGUUUGGUAUAAAAGCAAAGUGCCCUCAUAUGUGGUCGUGAAUUAUUUGUCCAUCACAGUAUAAAACAUUUCUCAUUGCUGCUUGUCUGCAGAAAUUGCCUUUCCAUAAAAUCCAAUUUAUUUUAUUAAAAUAAAUGUCCAAUUUAUUUAUUAUUACAGCAUCUCUGACUCUAAUAUAUAAUGACUUUCGCGCACACGUCAGGACUGCACCAAAUUAAUACUUUCUAGAAUGCAAUUUCAUUGUAUUUUUGUCUUUAAGUAAUAUUUCAAUAGUUUUAUUGAUGCUUUUGUAUGAUUUCUUCUGCCUUUUGUUAUUUGUAUUCCCAUCACACAUUAAACAGUCAUUAGUCUCAGUUAAUUUUCUUUCAUUGCUUGCUUUUUCAGUGUCCUAACUGACAUUACUUCCACUUCAAUGCUUUAAAUUACUUUUGUAUAAACAAAAACUAAUCUAACAAAAAUGCCAAUGUAUGAAUAUCUUUACAAAAUUAUUUUUUAAAUGUGUAUUUAUACCUAUAUAUGUACUAUGUAGUGUUUUGAACAUACUGAGUAAAAUAACAUAAUUACUACUGUAUGUAUAAUAAACCACAUGCUACUUUUUACUGUAACCGAUUUAACUAAAAAUAUGCUCAUUAAGUUUUAGUAAACUAAAAAAAUGCCAAUGUAUGGAUGUCUUUACAAAUAUAUUUUAUUUCGUUUUUUGUGUGUGUGUGUGUGUGUUUGCAUAUACACACUACUGUUUAAUAAUAUAUUUUUAUGUUUUUGAUCCAAAAUAUAGCAAAAACAGUAAUAUUAAUUUUAUUUCUGUGAUGCGCAGCUGUAUUUUCAGCAUCAUUACUCCAGUCUUCAGUGUCACAUGAUCUUCAGAAAUCAUUCUAAUAUGCUGAUUUGCUGCUCAAGAAACAUUUCUGAUU